rnacentral:sRNA from 1 species
GAAAUAAUAAAGAAGAUCACGGACCUAAGGAAUGUUUUCUUCAGACUAAACCAAGACAACUUUGACAACCCAUUAAAGUUAGCCCCAUUUCAAUAUAUCCUCUAAAAUAUCUGGAAAUUGUCUAUAUGCAAUGGGCUUGUUAAGUCCAUCCCUGCAAGUGUGCCUGGGGGCUCGUUAUUUAUUUAUGUGAACUUGAUUAUUUUUUACUGAUUAGAACAUGCUUCCAUGUGAAGCUCAACUGAAAAUCUGCUGCCAUGGAUGUCUCUCACUGUAACAAAAUAUAAAGCCUCUCCUAUCUCACUUUCACCUUUGCAGGGCCCCCCUGGUCCCCCUGGCCCUCCUGGACCUCCAGGCGUAAGCGGUGGUGGUUAUGACUUUGGUUACGAUGGAGACUUCUACAGGGCUGACCAGCCUCGCUCAGCACCUUCUCUCAGACCCAAGGACUAUGAAGUUGAUGCUACUCUGAAGUCUCUCAACAACCAGAUUGAGACCCUUCUUACUCCUGAAGGCUCUAGAAAGAACCCAGCUCGCACAUGCCGUGACUUGAGACUCAGCCACCCAGAGUGGAGCAGUGGUUACUACUGGAUUGACCCUAACCAAGGAUGCACUAUGGAUGCUAUCAAAGUAUACUGUGAUUUCUCUACUGGCGAAACCUGUAUCCGGGCCCAACCUGAAAACAUCCCAGCCAAGAACUGGUAUAGGAGCUCCAAGGACAAGAAACACGUCUGGCUAGGAGAAACUAUCAAUGCUGGCAGCCAGUUUGAAUAUAAUGUAGAAGGAGUGACUUCCAAGGAAAUGGCUACCCAACUUGCCUUCAUGCGCCUGCUGGCCAACUAUGCCUCUCAGAACAUCACCUACCACUGCAAGAACAGCAUUGCAUACAUGGAUGAGGAGACUGGCAACCUGAAAAAGGCUGUCAUUCUACAGGGCUCUAAUGAUGUUGAACUUGUUGCUGAGGGCAACAGCAGGUUCACUUACACUGUUCUUGUAGAUGGCUGCUCUAAAAAGACAAAUGAAUGGGGAAAGACAAUCAUUGAAUACAAAACAAAUAAGCCAUCUCGCCUGCCCUUCCUUGAUAUUGCACCUUUGGACAUCGGUGGUGCUGACCAGGAAUUCUUUGUGG